rnacentral:ncRNA from 1 species
UUAAAAGCGAUGAUAGGAAGGAGUACGUUAUUGCCGCCGAAUAGAGAGGGGAUCCUUGGCUGAAAGGUCUCUCGGAAUGGGGUAACGGAAGGUAGUCCUGGAGUUAUUGCAUUGAACUUAUAGUAGGUGCAGUCGGUUAUGCCCCGUUAUGGUAUUGGAGUUCGAGUAAAUCUUUAUUUUGCCUUUACUCGAAGAAACAAGGUGGUACCACGAAAGUAUGCUCUUUCGUCCUUUUA